AUACGGAGGUUCCGAGCGUUAUCCGGAAUCAUUGGGUUUAAAGGGUCCGUAGGCGGGAAUCUAAGUCAGUGGUGAAAUCUUGCAGCUCAACUGUAAAAUUGCCAUUGAUACUGGAUUUCUUGAAUUAGUGUGAAGUGGUUAGAAUGUGUAGUGUAGCGGUGAAAUGCAUAGAUAUUACACAGAAUACCAAUUGCGAAGGCAGAUCACUAACACUAUAUUGACGCUAAGGGACGAAAGCGUGGGGAGCGAACAGGAUUAGAAACCCCGGUAGUCC
rnacentral:rRNA from 1 species